AUUGAACGCUGGCGGAAUGCUUUACACAUGCAAGUCGAGCGGCAGCGCGGGGGCAACCCUGGCGGCGAGCGGCGAACGGGUGAGUAAUAUAUCGGAACGUACCCCGUCGUGGGGGAUAACACAGCGAAAGCUGUGCUAAUACCGCAUACGACCUGAGGGUGAAAGGCGGGGGAUCGCAAGACCUCGCGCGAUGGGAGCGGCCGAUAUCGGAUUAGCUUGUUGGUGAGGUAAAGGCUCACCAAGGCGACGAUCCGUAGCUGGUCUGAGAGGACGACCAGCCACACUGGAACUGAGACACGGUCCAGACUCCUACGGGAGGCAGCAGUGGGGAAUUUUGGACAAUGGGGGCAACCCUGAUCCAGCCAUUCCGCGUGAGUGAAGAAGGCCUUCGGGUUAGG
rnacentral:rRNA from 1 species